UACCAACCAAAAAGCUGAAGAAAUAUGAAAAAGAGUAUCAGACAAUGCGAGAGAGUCAGCUGCAACAGGAAGAUCCAAUGGAUAGAUACAAGUUUGUAUAUCUGUAGGUAACUCCAGCUGUUGCAUUUGUGUUGGGACUCAUCAUAAGAAGCUGGGAGAAAAGAGAGGGAGAAAGAAAGAGGCUUCCUACUUUCAAAAAUGAGGAAAAAAAAAGAAAAUGGCAAAGUAUUGUCUUAGCUGUGCAUUAUCAUUUCCACAGACUUUUAGAAGGGGAACUCUUCCAAGCCUGACAAAAGGAUGUUUCAGACUUGCCUCGGUCUGUAGCAAUGUCACAAAUACAAACUUAUUUAGAAGGAAAAAUAAAAAUCACAAAGCUAUAUCAAGCACA